rnacentral:piRNA from 1 species
UGAGCACUAAACUGUUUUUCU